rnacentral:rRNA from 1 species
AACGAACGCUGGCGGCAUGCCUAACACAUGCAAGUCGAACGAGACCUUCGGGUCUAGUGGCGCACGGGUGCGUAACGCGUGGGAACCUGCCCUUAGGUUCGGAAUAACUCCCCGAAAGGGGUGCUAAUACCGGAUAAUGUCUUCGGACCAAAGAUUUAUCGCCUUUGGAUGGGCCCGCGUUGGAUUAGCUAGUUGGUAGGGUAAAAGCCUACCAAGGCGACGAUCCAUAGCUGGUCUGAGAGGAUGAUCAGCCACACUGGGUCUGAGACACGGCCCAGACUCCUACGGGAGGCAGCAGUGGGGAAUAUUGGACAAUGGGCGAAAGCCUGAUCCAGCAAUGCCGCGUGAGUGAUGAAGGCCUUAGGGUUGUAAAGCUCUUUUACCCGGGAUGAUAAUGACAGUACCGGGAGAAUAAGCGCCGGCUAACUCCGUG